rnacentral:rRNA from 1 species
GAUGAACGCUAGCGGCAGGCCUAACACAUGCAAGUCGAGGGGUAACAGAGAGAGCUUGCUCUUUGCUGACGACCGGCGCACGGGUGCGCACCGCGUAUGGAAUCUGCCCUCUACAGGGGAAUAGCCCAGGGAAACUUGGAUUAAUGCCCCGUAGUACCGUUAUAUCGCAUGAUAUUAUGGUUAAAGCCUUCGGGUGGUAGAGGAUGACCAUGCGUCCCAUUAGCUUGAUGGUAAGGUAACGGCUUACCAUGGCUACGAUGGGUAGGGGCCCUGAGAGGGGGAUCCCCCACACUGGUACUGAGACACGGACCAGACUCCUACGGGAGGCAGCAGUGAGGAAUAUUGGACAAUGGGCGGGAGCCUGAUCCAGCCAUGCCGCGUGCAGGAAGAAUGCCCUAUGGGUAGUAAACUGCUUUUAUACGGGAAGAAAAAGAGCUACGUGUAGCUUACUGACGGUACCGUAAGAAUAAGGACCGGCUAACUCCG